rnacentral:rRNA from 1 species
GUGGGCAAUCUGCCCUUCACUCUGGGACAAGCCCUGGAAACGGGGUCUAAUACCGGAUACGACACACGGAGGCAUCUCCUGUGUGUGGAAAGCUCCGGCGGUGAAGGAUGAGCCCGCGGCCUAUCAGCUUGUUGGUGGGGUGAUGGCCUACCAAGGCGACGACGGGUAGCCGGCCUGAGAGGGCGACCGGCCACACUGGGACUGAGACACGGCCCAGACUCCUACGGGAGGCAGCAGUGGGGAAUAUUGCACAAUGGGCGAAAGCCUGAUGCAGCGACGCCGCGUGAGGGAUGACGGCCUUCGGGUUGUAAACCUCUUUCAGCAGGGAAGAAGCGAAAGUGACGGUACCUGCAGAAGAAGCGCCGGCUAACUACGUGCCAGCAGCCGCGGUAAUACGUAGGGCGCAAGCGUUGUCCGGAAUUAUUGGGCGUAAAGAGCUCGUAGGCGGCUUGUCACGUCGGUUGUGAAAGCCCGGGGCUUAACCCCGGGUCUGCAGUCGA